rnacentral:rRNA from 1 species
GGUUGAUCCUGCGAGUAGUCAUAUGCUUGUCUCAAAGAUUAAGCC